rnacentral:rRNA from 1 species
GACGAACGCUGGCGGCGUGCUUAACACAUGUAAGUCGAACGGAAAGGCCCUGCUUUUGUGGGGUGCUCGAGUGGCGAACGGGUGAGUAACACGUGAGUAACCUGCCCUUGACUUUGGGAUAACUUCAGGAAACUGGGGCUAAUACCGGAUAGGAGCUCCUGCUGCAUGGUGGGGGUUGGAAAGUUUCGGCGGUUGGGGAUGGACUCGCGGCUUAUCAGCUUGUUGGUGGGGUAGUGGCUUACCAAGGCUUUGACGGGUAGCCGGCCUGAGAGGGUGACCGGCCACAUUGGGACUGAGAUACGGCCCAGACUCCUACGGGAGGCAGCAGUGGGGAAUAUUGCAAAAUGGGCGGAAGCCUGAUGCAGCAACGCCGCGUGCGGGAUGACGGCCUUCGGGUUGUAAACCGCUUUCGCCUGUGACGAAGCGUGAGUGGCGGUAAUGGGUAAAGAAGCACCGGCUAACUACGUG